AUGGAGCAGAACCAAAAUUCAGAAAACACCUUCAACUGACUUCCCCCCUCUCGAUUGAUAACCCCAAUCAAUCUGAUAAACAGAAAAGAAAAGAUGCUCAAUAUCCAUACCCUUCCCAGAAAAAGACGAAACAAGCCUUGAUUUCUGUCUCAAACCCUAAAGGAGGAGCUUUCACAAACCCUAAUCUCCCAGAAAAUACUCCGUUAACCUUUCAUUGUGGAGCCUCUGGUAAACCCCCUCUACCAGACUACAUCAAAAAACCCAUUAAAUCUCGAAAGGAGACCAAGGAUGCUAAAGGGAGGAGACUUGUAAGUGAUUCUGAGAUUAAAGUGGAUGCAAUUGGUGGCUCCUCGUCUGCAAAACAGUUUGAAAUCACUAAAUGCCAGGUGGCUUUGCAUUUGGCAGUGGUUUGAGGGGCUAUUCCUGCAAUUAAUAUUUAGAAAUUUUGUGUAUACCCAGAAUCGGUAAUGGUGCUUAUUAACGUUCAACUCAGCUACUGAGGAUGUAGAAUCCAAUCGCUGGCCUCCAAUAUGAAUCACUUUCGCGGAAAUAUUCUUUGGGCAUAUGGUUUUGAUGUAUGAUUUUGGAGUUUCUAUGUUUAUUGGCAUUCCUCGUAGUCUCUUACGUAACUGAAGUUUGAUUAUCAGGCUCUUAACUUAUAUUGCAAUGGUGAUACGUCACACAAAUGAAAAAAUGACGCUUUCUCGUGCAACAAGUGCAAAAUACAUACAAGGUACAAACUUAUUCCGCCGAAUGUUAACACCACAUAUUGGUUCUUAAAGUUGUUACCAGUUAAGUCAUUAUUGAAGGUGCAGAUGCCUGGACAGUAGCAUGCGAUGGUUGUUAGGUGACCAAGGUGUGUGUUCUCUAUCUAUGGAGUAACGCAUAAAAUAGUAGAGGAGCAAGAUGCAAGCGCUGGCAUGGUGUAUGUGUAUAUCACAAUUAGUAUAUAAAGUAGAAAUCCCUAGAAAUUAUUACUCAAAGAGGUGACGCGGUACUGUAAAUCCCUUUGUGCAUGGAUAUGUACUUGAAACAAUGUCUCAAGCGGGAAUUUUUGUUUAUUCACUUAUUUUAUAGAUGUAUGUUGAGUUUUCCCCCCCCCCUUCACUUUGCGAUACGUAAACCAUCUGGCGU